rnacentral:rRNA from 1 species
AGUGAACGCUGGCGGUAGGCCUAACACAUGCAAGUCGAACGGCAGCACAGUAAGAGCUUGCUCUUAUGGGUGGCGAGUGGCGGACGGGUGAGGAAUACAUCGGAAUCUACUUUUUCGUGGGGGAUAACGUAGGGAAACUUACGCUAAUACCGCAUACGACCUACGGGUGAAAGCAGGGGACCUUCGGGCCUUGCGCGAUUGAAUGAGCCGAUGUCGGAUUAGCUAGUUGGCGGGGUAAAGGCCCACCAAGGCGAUGAUCCGUAGCUGGUCUGAGAGGAUGAUCAGCCACACCGGAACUGAGACACGGUCCAGGCUCCUACGGGAGGCAGCAGUGGGGAAUAUUGGACAAUGGGCGCAAGCCUGAUCCAGCCAUACCGCGUGGGUGAAGAAGGCCUUCGGGUUGUAAAGCCCUUUUGUUGGGAAAGAAAUCCAGCCGGCUAAUACCUGGUUGGGAUGACGGUACCCAAAGAAUAAGCACCGGCUAACUUCGUGCCAGCAGCCGCGGUAAUACGAAGGGUGCAAGCGUUGCUCGGAAUUACUGGGCGUAAAGCGUGCGUAGGUGGUUGUUUAAGUCUGUUGUGAAAGCCCUGGGCUCAACCUGGGAACUGCAGUGGAAACUGGACAACUAGAGUGUGGUAGAGGGUAGCGGAAUUCCCGGUGUAGCAGUGAAAUGCGUAGAGAUCGGGAGGAACAUCCAUGGCGAAGGCAGCUACCUGGACCAACACUGACACUGAGGCACGAAAGCGUGGGGAGCAAACAGGAUUAGAUACCCUGGUAGUCCACGCCCUAAACGAUGCGAACUGGAUGUUGGGUGCAAUUUGGCACGCAGUAUCGAAGCUAACGCGUUAAGUUCGCCGCCUGGGGAGUACGGUCGCAAGACUGAAACUCAAAGGAAUUGACGGGGGCCCGCACAAGCGGUGGAGUAUGUGGUUUAAUUCGAUGCAACGCGAAGAACCUUACCUGGCCU